rnacentral:lncRNA from 1 species
ACGGAAAUGGGGAGAAAGGAGGAGGAGCAGGAGCAGGAUGCGGAGAUGGAAGAACUAGUAGUGGACUACUACGCAGAUGAGCCGAUGGAGGAAGACGGUAAAAAUAGUAACAACAAGUGGAAAUACCGGGAGGACCCUGGCUUCAUGGAGGCAUACCUGAAGGUGAUGCAGCUCGUGGAAGAAGAUGAUCGGAUCGAGGACGAGGAGAGCGCUGCGGCGGCGGAGGCGGCGAAGCCAGGGCGGAAGAGGGCUCACGCCCGGAAGGCGGGGGAGCUGGACGACGUGGAGACGACGAAGAGGUACAAGUGCAACUACUGGGCGGACGACGACCCUGCUUACCGCGGCAAGAGGCGGCUGGAGAACACCGGCCAGCUCUUGGCCCGCACCGCCGCCCUCAUGAACCGCGCCGAACGGGAGACCGCCGCCAUGAUGGCCCGAUGGGAACUAGAGGACAGCCAGCUUAUAAACACCUAGCGAGCUGAAUUCCAAUAUAUCUAUAAGUAUGUUUUUUUAGAUAAUAAAAUAUAAUAUCCUGGCCUUGCUUAAAUAUCUUAUAAGUAUGUAACUGUUCCAAUUGUAAUUAUACUGAAAAUCAUUCGUGUGGGUAAGAAUAAGACAGUUUCUUCCAACUGCAGUAGCUCAUUCAGUAUACAGUAA